AUUCCAGCUCCAAUAGCGUAUAUUAAAGUUGUUGCAGUUAAAAAGCUCGUAGUUGGAUUUCUGGUUCAGAGGGCUUGGCCCGUGGCCAAUUUAGGUUCACGAGUGCCGAUGCUUUCGUACCAUCCUUUCGGUGACGAUUCAGGUCCCCUUCAUUGGGUUCGCCUGGUUGUUCCGGAUCUUUUACUUUGGAAAAAUUAGAGUGUUUAAAGCAAGCUGUGUGUUGAAUACAUUAGCAUGGAAUAAUAAUCUAGGACUUUGGUUCUAUUUUGUUGGUUUCUAGCGACAAAGUAAUGAUUGAUAGGGAUAGUUGGGGGUGCUAGUAUUUACCGGCCAGAGGUGAAAUUCUUGGAUUCGGUAAAGACUAACUUAUGCGAAAGCAUUCACCAAGGAUGUCUUCAUUG
rnacentral:rRNA from 1 species